CAGUAAUGGAUAUUGCCAGAGGAGUAUCAUGAAAGCACAGUCUCCAUUCAAGCUCUGCUAUCCUGCAACCAUCAACAUAUCCAUAAUUGCAUGAGUCAAGAACUGGGCCAACGUUGCAGAGCUAUGCAGCAUCAGUUGGAGUGUUCAGACAUUGCCUUUUGCUGGUGUGAUGUCCAGUUUAUGGAUUAGCAUUUAAAGAGAAGACACUGAUUCCUUUUGUCACACAGCUCAAAGUUCCUAGUGCAACCGAAGCAGUGCGGAAAAGUUGCCAGGCCAUUACUUGUCUCCUGAUACUUCAGUUUUGCAGCAUGAGGCACAGGAAAGGUUGUUUGACCUGUCUUUCAAAGCUGGCCACACAUGUUGUUUAAGCUGCAGAAAGGCAAGUAGCAGUGGUACAUCCCUUCAGCCUGCACAGGAAUCACAGAUACAAUACAGUACAAGAUACAGCUUAUGCAGCCUAACAGCAACCACAGUCAACCAGUGCUCCAGGCAUCAGACUAACUUUACCAGCAGUGAAUUUGUGGAUUUACCACCAAGCACCUCUUCCUGUGCAGAACUGUAAAUCAGUCAAAUACCUCAACUCUGCGUCUGCAUCAGCUUCUUGCAUACUGGGUGAAAGAACCCAUUUCAGGACACCAGUAUGGAAUGCUUGUAUGGCAUCAUAUGGUGAAACAGUUGUAAGAAAUAAGGCCUGAUUCUCUCUGAUAAUUAAAUAAAAUAACACAUUUGUUUAUUUCCUCAUCAAAUAAGUGGA